AACACAGCAUCUUCACACACGUUUGGUCGACAUGACAUUCACUAGCAAAAUGAUUUUGUACUUUACGCUCCUCCAACUGCUGAAAUAGGAAUGAUAUGUUUUUAUUAUUGUGAACUUGAAUCACAAAGUCUGGAAAACAUUUUACGUCCUAAAAGCUUGUGCCAUCAUUUUUGAGGUUAUUCCAUAGUCAAUACUUCAUAUUUUCUCAAUUUGCACUCUACUAACAAAGCAAGUACUCAGCUUCUGAGAGAAAAAAAAAUGGCCUAGGUUUACUCAAGAUGGAAGCCCCAGAGAGCUAGAGAACCCAAGACCAUUAGAUAGUGCUUAGGGGAAAAAUGAGGGUGUUCUCUCUGCCUUCUAACAUUGAAAGCAAAUGGAUACUCUGUCAUUAUCACUCAGAGAUUUCUCACUUACUUGUAACUGACUAUCUCAUGCAGAAUGCAUUUAGGAGAAGUAAGUUCCCUCCUAUUUUUAACUAGAAUUACUAGUCUUAAAAAAUCAAUUAUUAUAUUGUGUCAGUUCACUUGUAUAUAAACUUCAAAGUUGAUAGGUUUUGAAAUCGUAUUUCAUAAAAUACAUCAAAAGCUUUAGCAAUGAGAACCUAAUUCUGUGGCUUAGUCCUUCAGGUUUUAACCUCUGGUGAUAUCACUUAAUCGUAAAUUAAUUAUAGUUCAGUGCUUGUUAUUUUUCCAAGUUUUCUAUGUUACUAAACAAGGUUGUUAUAAAUAAGAAUUUUAAAUGGUGGCAUUGAACCUUAUUUCUCUUGUUGAACAAUAUUCUCAUGCUUAAAACAUUAAACUAUUACAGAGCUCGAUAUUAAAAGCCAAAGGUAGUGUGUUCAGACUCCUUCAUGUUAAGGCAUCUAACAAAGCACCCCAGUGAUCUAGAUAAUGCACAGGAAUUGAGAAUUAUCUAAAGCAAUUAUGUGGGAGCUUUAGAAACAGUCUUGAACAUUUGUGUAAGGAUAAUGAUGAGUAGAUAGCAGCCAUGAUUAUCAGGCCUAUUAUUUUUAUUAAUUUCAGAUGUGUCAGCAUCACUUGCAAAAUUCAUUUCUUGUGUAACUUCCUGAUCUGAAAUAAUGGUUACCUCUUGCUUAUUCUUUUGAUCCUUAAAAAAUUUUUACUGUCAUGAAAUACAAAUUAUUAUCUGACCAUAACAGUUUUUCUAAUUUAUGAGCAUAUAAGAUAUAUUUAGGUGGAGUCAGCUGGAGGGAAAGAAAGAGAAAGAAAAAGCCCCCCUAUAGGGAAGCUUUUACUUACAAUGGGAAGAUGAAAAUUAUGUCUGUAGUCCAUCUUUGUUAACCUAAGAGAAAGCUAAAGAUAUUGAUAUGGAUAUAUCAUUAAAGAUUUUUUUUAAAAAAUAAGAAAUAAUACUGAAUGAUAGGUACACCAAAUAAAAUUCAGCAUGUCAAAGCUUUAGAAAACAAAUAAGAAACUUAAUAAAACUGUUAAUUAGAAUGACUAUUUAAAGGAACAAUGACAAAAAUAAAUCAUCAUAUAUAUCUACCAAAGCAGAAUUUGCUUCUGUUUGGAAAAUUUAGUACCAUGUCUUCAAUCAGUAUUUUCUGUGACAAGCUAAGCUCUAGUAUAACCUUUAUGCUAAUGAGAAACCAGGUAGGAAUUCAAAUAUCAUCUGUAUGAGCUGCAGUUGCAUCUUAAAUAUAAUAGGUCUGGUAUCAUUUCUAAAUAACUCUCAAUAAAAGUCUAAUGAAUACAUUGUGUACAAAGAGACUACGUAGGGCAAACUAAUCAGGUCUUUAAAUACAUUGGCACUUUAAACUCCUGUAUGCCCCUCUCUCCUUUCUAACUCCAGUCCUUCUAUUCUUUCCUAUUUCACUUUAUUCUGUCUUUUCUGUCUCUAUUUCUUAACAGCUCUUAUAAAGUGCAUGGCAAUAUUGUUUUACUCUUUGAGCUGAGGCUUUUCCUUUUCACAUUUACAUGACUGAAUAUUAUAGACCUGUGAGGUAAGGAGGUAAAAGUUAGAACAUAGUACAGAUCAUUUGAAAAGAGAAGUGACUGUGAAUUUGGAUCUUGACUGCUGAGGGCUUUGUCAUACAAGAGAAAGUGGAUCUAUGCAAACUUCUUUGCUCUCUCCUGGGAAGUAUCAGAAUCAACAUUUUAAAGCUCCUGCCCAUUGCCCCUGCAAGUCUUCAUUCAGAAAAUCCUCUUCUAGCUUAAUCUCUAAUUUUUCAUUAGAUUUGAGAAUCACACUGCUAAAGAUUGAGAUAGAAAAGCCUUUUCUCAAAUCUGCUUUUAGAAUCAUAGGUACAUGAAAUGCAAGUUGAUUUUACUGGACCUUUAGAUGUAAGGGAUACACUACCAAACUUCUUGGGUACUGUUACAUGAGUCAGAUAGUUCUGUUAUAGUGUUUCUAGAUCUUGAAGUGUCUGACAAAAUUCAACAUAGAAUUUAUAUCUACCCUGCUGAGAAAGCAAUAAGUAGCAUUCUCCAUGUUUCUUAGCUCUACCCUUUUAAAAUUUUAACACAUUUACAUGUAACUUUUUAAGCACAGCUUUGACUUAUUUUCUAGAAUUAAUGAAUUUCCAUGGUUUGAAAUAAAAAGACCUAAUUUUGAUAUUUCAUAUUGUUAUAGCAAAGGAUUUAUGUAUCUCAAUCCAAGCCAUUUAUUUUUCAGGGAAAAUUAGAUAAUGCCUAGCAAAGUAUUUGAUUUAUAACAGAAAGUAAUUCAAAUAUCUUAAGUGUACUAAAAAAGAAGGCAAAAAUGGAAUUCUAGGAAAUACAUCUAAUCAUUUUAAUUUUCUUCAAUUGAAAUGUCUUAUAUGUUAUGUCACUGUAUAAAUAUUAUAUUCAAAUAUCCAUAGAAUACCUUUGUUUGUAUUCUCUAGUGGUAUAUGAGUGUUAUUAUUUUUUUUCUAUUUAGAAAGAUAUAUUUUCAAAAUCAACAUUGUAUACCUGGUAUUUCUGACCUGGGGAUGUAAUAAGUGCCCCAUCUGGGAACUACCCUCCUCAAUGCAACCUUUUACUUUUCAGUUCUGAUUUUUAAUUAUAUCCUUUAUCAGAAGUCUUAAAUUCAUAUCAAAGAAAAGAAGAAGUAUAUAAGUUCCAAACAAAUAAACACCCCCCAAACAGCAACACAUUUCUUUGUCAUCUUCUAUAUAUCCCAUUCUUUACACUUAAUUUCUGAGAUAGGUGCAUAUUUACCAUCUAAAUUGAAACUUAAGUGAACACUUUUUGUGUUUUCUUAUAAUUUUCCUAAUUAAGUAUAGCCAAUCUUACAACUUAAUCAGGUAAAUAAAUGAAUAACUUUAAUU
rnacentral:lncRNA from 1 species